rnacentral:rRNA from 1 species
CACAUGCAAGUCGAGGGGCAGCGGAGGCUGUAGCAAUACAGCCUGCCGGCGACCGGCGCACGGGUGAGUAACACGUAUGCAACCUGCCCGUGACAGUGGGAUAAUCCGGAGAAAUCCGGUCUAAUACCGCAUGAUCCCCUGUGGAGACAUCUCCACGGGGGCAAAGGAAGUAAUUCCGGUCACGGAUGGGCAUGCGUCGCAUUAGCUGGUUGGCGGGGUAACGGCCCACCAAGGCGACGAUGCGUAGGGGUUCUGAGAGGAAGGUCCCCCACACUGGUACUGAGACACGGACCAGACUCCUACGGGAGGCAGCAGUGAGGAAUAUUGGUCAAUGGGCGCGAGCCUGAACCAGCCAAGUCGCGUGAGGGAAGACGGUCCUAUGGAUUGUAAACCUCUUUUGCCGGGGAGCAAAAGGAGCCACGUGUGGCUCAUCGAGAGUACCCGGAGAAAAAGCAUCGGCUAACUCCGUGCCAGCAGCCGCGGUAAUACGGAGGAUGCGAGCGUUAUCCGGAUUUAUUGGGUUUAAAGGGUGCGUAGGCGGGACCUUAAGUCAGCGGUUAAAUCGCGGGGCUCAACCUCGCUCUGCCGUUGAAACUGGGGUCCUUGAGUGGGCGAGAAGUACGCGGAAUGCGUGGUGUAGCGGUGAAAUGCAUAGAUAUCACGCAGAACUCCGAUUGCGAAGGCAGCGUACCGGCGCCCUACUGACGCUGAAGCACGAAAGCGUGGGUAUCGAACAGGAUUAGAUACCCUGGUAGUCCACGCAGUAAACGAUGAAUGCUAAUUGUGUGCCCCGACUGAGGGGUGCGUGAUAAAGCGAAAGCGUUAAGCAUUCCACCUGGGGAGUACGCCGGCAACGGUGAAACUCAAAGGAAUUGACGGGGACCCGCACAAGCGGUGGAGCAUGUGGUUUAAUUCGAAGCAACGCGAAGAACCUUACCAAGUCUUGACAUCGAGCUAAAGGUAGAGUAAUGUCUACUGAGCCUUCGGGCAAGCGAAGACAGGUGGUGCAUGGUUGUCGUCAGCUCGUGUCGUGAGAUGUUGGGUUAAGUCCCGCAACGAGCGCAACCCUUAUUGUUAGUAGCCAGCAGGUAGAGCUGGGCACUCUAAUGAGACUGCCAGGGAGAACCUGGAGGAAGGCGGGGAUGACGUCAAAUCAUCAUGCCCCUUAUGACUUGGGCUACACACGUGCUACAAUGGCGUAAACAAAGUGAAGCGAGAGGGAGACCUUAAGCAAAGCACAAAAAUAACGUCUCAGUUCGGAUUGUAGUCUGCAACUCGACUACAUGAAGCUGGAAUCGCUAGUAAUCGCAAAUCAGAAUGUUGCGGUGAAUACGUUCCCGGGUCUUGCACACACCGCCCGUCAAG